rnacentral:sRNA from 10 species
UACCAUGAGAGAGAAACGUUUGAGAAUUGAGAGGAUGCUCCAUUUGUCCAGAGAAAGCUUGUACUUUUCGCCUUGACGGUAUUGAAUGGUAGUAUACUUGUGAUUUGUCAUAGGGAAGUUCAUAGUUGAGAAGUGAAUUUGGAAUAGUCUCCAACUGAAUUUGGUUGCUUCAAUUCAUGGUUUGGCAAAGAUUUUUGGACAAACAUUGAUGGGCCAAGGAGAGAUUUGAUAUCUCCAAGACAUCCGCCAUGAAGUUUUGACAUUUUGCAGUGGUAUCCAUAACCCCAGUUCUGUCACGUAGUAUCAAUGGAAUCAACAAGAUGAGUAUAAUAUGAUAAUAAAUUAGCAAAUUUACUUCCACAAGUUACUACAGGUGCAACUUAACAGUUGUAGAAUGGCUUUUUAUUCUUUUUCUGUACGAGUCUCCUGUAAAGUGAGGAAAAAAAAACAGUACUCUUAUUUGAUUAAUGCACUCAUCAUCCCCGUUCAAAGAACUGGGUUGUAAUCGCUUUCCCCCAAUCAAAAUCCAAAGCAGAGAAAAGAUUUCUGCCUUGGAUCGGGGCCAAUGAGAUUGGUCAUUUUUCUCUGUGUGAUUUAUCAGGCCUGCUUUUACUCUUGGGUUCUCUAGAAGUGGGAUUCAUCAUUCAUGUGUAAAAUUAAGCAGGCGUGCAGGCCGUUAGUAAGGUGGCGAUGGCGAGAUUUUGGUUUGGCUUGCAAAAGGUACUGGAGUUUUGGCUUCGUAUGAGCAAAAAUGGCUGCUUAUGAGGUAUGACUUGUCAGCUGGGUAUGCUUUGGAGAAAAAUAUUCUGAAUGACAUUAGGUUAUGUGGUGACUAAGGUAACAACUUCUUUUAGUUCUUUAUCUAAGUUGAUUGUUUCUUUGUUUGGUUAUUCCUUCGAGCAAUUGUUUUCCCAACUAGUAUAUGAUAUCGACUCCGAACGCGCUCACUAACAUUUUUCUCUGUGGUUCGUGCAUUCUUUGUUCAUAAACAAGCACACAUUUGCAACAUUAUUCUGUGACCCUUUAUUCGAUGAUUUAGUUGCCUUUUCCCAGUCUUGAAGUUCCUGAUCAUGCGUAAGAAUAAUGUUGUUGUUGUCCCCCUAUUCCUAUACAUUUUAUAACUAUGUGCUAAUACAAUUCAAAAAAAAAAAAAACUAUGUGCUACUAAUUUAUGUAGGCAUGCUGCGUAUGGCAAGUGUAUAAGAGUAAGCUGUAAGCAGUUCAAAGUGGGAGAGGAGAGAAACAGGGAGAAAAUUCAGGAACCAUUACUUGAGUUUGAUUUUUUAUGUUAGUAUAGGUUUCUGAAGAUCAUUAUGACCACUGUGAAUUUAUGUUAACAGUACAAAUCCCAGAAUUUUAUUUGUAGAAAUUCCCUUGUUCUCGGAACAAUGUUGAAAACACAAAAUGAAAUCCCUUGGUGAAUCCAUGGCUUUAGGCCAUGCUUUUCAUGAAUCCUUCUAGAAAAAUUCAGUGGCAUAUGGCCACUCUGGAUAAGGUUGUGCACAGGUUAAGAAAAUUGAGGAGGAUGAGGUCUUGAAAGUGGGUUUUACUUUGGGUGGAGGACUUCACUUUAUUGGUGAAAGAAUUUAGUUUGGCUACUGCUGCUACCAGAUAAAUCUUUUCUCCUUCAGGUUUAUGUUACCCUCUUCCUGUUUCUGCUUCUUUCCUGCAGGCAUGUGAACCUGGUUUAUCAUGUCAUAUCUAUAAACAUGUUUUGGAUUUUUCACUUCCAAGUGCUGACUAAUUGGAUUAAUUCUCCCAAGUUGAUAUUCAUGAGCAAUCUUGAAUACUUGUUCCGUAAAAGCUUGUUCCUUAUAUAUGUGGCUACGUGUUUAUAUGACACAAAGGAGCAUUAGUCAUAUGUGAUGAAAAUGAUAAUAGAAGGAUGAACUUUUAGGACAACAUAUUAUGUAUGUUUUCCAUUAUUUUUAAUUAGAUUGAGCAGCAGGUUAUUCCAAUCGCCAUAUAGAAUUGUCGUGCAGUCCUGCCUCUAUGUCAAAACUGCUCUCUAUGUGCCAAAUCUGUAAUCAGCCAUUCUGAUUUUUAGGAUCUUGUUCUGAUUGAUCCUCUGCUAUUCUUCACUUUGAGUUGUGCACUGUAUGGUAUUUAAAGCCAGUAUAAGAGAUCGCCUUCUGAUUUGUAGUUUGAUGCUAAUGUGAGAUAUAGGUUAGGCAUCUGCAUGGAAAUGGCAUUGUUGCAAAGCAUCAUCUUCCUUUUGGCAUAUAUUUGCUAAUUUGUUGCCUCCAAUAUCCUUUUUAGCCUUCUUCCCUUCAGAAAGCCACUAUGACAAUUCUAAUGAAUUUAAAUCUUAAAACUUGAAUCUGUGGAUUAUGAAUGAUUUUCUUACAGUCGAAGUUGUUCUUCAUGUUAUUGAUUGGUAUGGCAUCAUUGUCUGGUUGGAGGUCAAACAUCCAUGAAGUUGGCUAUCCCUAUCCAUCACCCUAUUUAGAUGCUGGACAAACCUUUAUGUGCCAAUAGGACUGUACAUGGAGCCUUCUGGGGUACAUUUCUGGGUCCCAUAGUUGCAGCCGAAGUCAGAGAGUUCAAUGCCUUCCUUAAGAAGUUAAGAAUUGAGCAGCCAAAGAGAGUUUGUGGAAAAGAACGAAGAUGGUGCUCUUGCCAUUGCAAUAGGCAUAGGCUCCUCAUGCAUAUUGAUUAAAAGCUUGUGACACCGUGCUGUUGAGGUUUACCCAAAACAACCUCAAUGGAUUAAGAAGUAUUUAUCUGAUGCAAUUGAAUUUUUGGAGAUGUAGUUUCUGAUAUUGUGGUUCUCUCUCUCUCUCUGGGAUACGGGUGCCAUUUGUGUCCAUAGCAGUUGGGAGAUUGGGAAAAUAUGCUGCCGCACUUGUUAUGCCUGUGCCAAGGCUAUGAUCUGUUUUUGGGUCCUAAAAUGAACUGCUAAGGUCGUGGCAUUGAUUUUUGGAUUUGCAAUGGCACUUGCCAAUGCUGAAACUUCUGCUAGGCAGAAGCUAAAUCACUGUGUGACUUCCUAUGUAACUAUUCCUUGCUUAAAGCAAAUCGUUGUGUUUCCCACACUGCACCAUUUGUGUCCAUAGCAGUUGGGAGAUUGGCAAAAUAUGCUGCUGCACUUGUUAUGGAUGGUAAGUCACUGAUCCUGAUCUACUUUCAAAAAAAAAAAAAGUCACUGAUCCUGAUCUAAGUUUCAGAUAAGAGGCCAUGAUAUGACAUGUCAGUUAAGAAAGCUGAUCUUCCUUUUUGGGUAAUGCCAAGGCUGUGAUCUGUUUUUGGGUCCUAAAUGAGCUGCUAAGGUUCUUAGCAUUGAUUUUUGGAUUUGCAGUGACACUCACCAAUGCUCAAAUUGCUGCUGGGCAGAAGCUAUAUCACUGUGUGACUUCCUACGUGGCUCUUUCUUGCUUAAGGCAAAUUGUUGUGUUUCUCACAUUGUACCAUUUCUGUCCAUAGCAGUUGGGAGAUUGGCAAAACAUGCUUCAGCACUUAUUAUGGCUGGUAAGUCAUUGAUCCCUGAUCUAAGUUUCAGGAAAGAGGCCAUGACACAACAUGUCAGUUAAGAAGGCUGAUCUUCCUUUUUGAGCAGUGCCAAGGCUCUGAUGUGUUUUUGGAUCCUAAUAUGAACUGCUAAGGUUGUGGCCAUUAUUUUUGGGUUUGCAAUGGCUCUUGCCAAUGCUCAAAUUGCUGCUAGGCAGAAGUUAUGUCACCAGCCAGCCAUGUGUUACUUAGCUUAAAUGCUUUGACAAAUUUCCAUCUUCAAAGUAUUGCAAAGGCUUUCUAAGGGAUAGGAUUCUGGAAAUUUUUUGACAUCUGGGAUUGGUCACUUUCUCAAGCUAAAAGGCAUUCCAGUGGAAUGAGCAUUGGAGAUUCAUGAACAGUGGCUACUGUCAAUUGACAUGGUUGCUAGUGGGCAGAUUGCGUUGAUAAUAACAUCAAGUGCUGGUAAUGCACUUGAUCAGAUUGAUUGCCAAAAAUUAGAGUGAAUGGUUGCUAUGUGCCACUUCCUCUUGACCAGUGCAGAGGUAAGGAGCUCGAAGUCAUACACCAUUGACGUGGUUACUCUUCAAGACUUCUUUGAUGAUGAGUUAGAAGCAGGGGAGGGGGGUUGCCAAAGCUGGCUAUGUGCCACUUCCUGUCCAUGAAUUGAUAGGUAUAUCUGGGAGGAUUGGUUCUCAAUGUUCAAUUUGCAGGGAGCGAUUCUAUAUUCUUUCCUCUAUGUCUGCUUGUUGUGUGAUUCAAUGCUAUGGCCUACAGAAGUAGUUGCGGAGUUAAUAUAAUCGGGUGUGAAAAGUUUGAACUUUCCAUGACAACCUAAACAAAUGGCUAAGUGAAGACUUUUCCGACGUUAAUACUCUUCGUUCCUGAUGCAUCGCUAUCUUAUUUCUAUAGAAAGCGGUCAAGCCGAACCUAACUCAACCAGGGAAUCAAGACUUUCUAGAGACUGGACAUGACAAUAAUUGACCUUGGGCUGAUGAACGGUUUAUGAUAAGCAUCCAUGAACAUCAUACUUAUUUUGAAAAGAAAAAUUUUGUUCUUGAUUGCAUGCCCCCAGCAGCCUGAGCAAGGAUCUAGAACAAUGUUGAAUUUUUUGGAGUUUAAUCUCGGCUGUGCUCCUCAUCAACCCUGGCUUCACACCAAAAUUAAUUUUGGUUUAAAUGUUAACGGAAGUUCAUUUGUAGAGCUUGAUCAACCUUUCCCGGGCUGAAUAUAUCUUGGAUUAUGGGUCAAACCCGUAGUCCAGGUCCUUGGUAAAUUUUU